GGGUUUUGCAACCCGCAAAAUUGGAAACAUGACUACACCAACGCUGACUGUUACCAGAGACGGUGAUAAAUUGUGUGGAAAUCAGAAUCAACAUUCAAAAACCAAACAGUAGAAUUUACCGUGGGAGAAGAAUUCGAUUUCAAAACAAUGGAUGACAGGAAUGUAAAGUGCGUUGUAACAUGGGAUAAAGAUAAGCUGAAGGAAGUGCAGAAGCCAAAGCCUGGUGAAAAGGGCAAAGAAACAACUAUAGUCAGAGAAGUCACUGAUGAUGGAAAUAUACUCAUGACUUUGUACAUCGAUGAUGUUGUAUGUACACGUCUUUACAAGAAAUUGGAAUAGAAAUAUUCUAGACAGGAAAAAAUUGCAAAAUACAACCAUAAAGAAUUGCGUGUAGUUUGUAAUUAUAGUGACACAUAGUGUGAAUAUUCUCAGUCAUAGGUGCUAUAAGCUCCCAUUUACGCUUUACCUUUAAUUUGUAUCUUAGGCCACACUCCACAAAAUUUGUAUUUGUUGAGCAGCAUUUUAUUUGUGUUUAUAGAGUUAUUUUUAUUACAAAAUAUGGGAUCUUAAGAUUUUAGUUGGGAGUUAUAAUUUGUAUCAUUAAAUAUGCAUACAUUUUUCAACCAACGUGAAAUGUACAUGUAUUUGUUUUCAACCCAAAUGAAAUGUACAUGUAUGUGUUUUCAACUAACAUGAAAUGAGCAUUAGUAUGGAACUUGAUCAAUUAAAUGACAAUUAAACAAUUGAUGUUGUGUUUUGCUGUGUUAUAGGAAAUUGAAUUUCACUAUUGUACUUGUUGCAGAUACAGGUGAAUAAUUAAAUUAGUAUCAUGCAUUGUGUUCUAAAAUAUUAAAAAUGAAAUAAUGUCUAACGUUUGUGCAUAGCAUAGCACACUGGCAUUCACGCAUUACCUAUUAGUGCCAAACAGGAUGUACAAAAAUCACUUUAGGUGUUCAAUGGUAACUUUAUAGCAAGUGGAAAAAUAAUAACUAAGAAAGUAUAUUUAAAAAAUUAAAGAUAAUGUCUACACU